rnacentral:rRNA from 1 species
ACGGGUGCGUAACACGUAUGUAACCUACCUUUGUCAGGGGGAUAGCCUCUCGAAAGAGAGAUUAAGACCGCAUAAAAUUAUAGUGUGGCAUCACACAGUAAUCAAAUAUUUAUAGGACAAAGAUGGGCAUGCGGAACAUUAGCUAGUUGGUAGGGUAACGGCCUACCAAGGCUACGAUGUUUAGGGGAUCUGAGAGGAUGGCCCCCCACACUGGUACUGAGACACGGACCAGACUCCUACGGGAGGCAGCAGUAAGGAAUAUUGGUCAAUGGGCGGAAGCCUGAACCAGCCAUGCCGCGUGCAGGAAGACGGCCCUACCGGUUGUAAACUGCUUUUGUACCGGAAUAAACCUUGAUACAUGUAUCAAGCUGAAUGUACGGUAAGAAUAAGGAUCGGCUAACUCCGUGCCAGCAGCCGCGGUAAUACGGAGGAUCCAAGCGUUAUCCGGAUUUAUUGGGUUUAAAGGGUGCGUAGGUGGCCUGUUAAGUCAGGGGUGAAAGACGGUAGCUUAACUAUCGCAGUGCCCUUGAUACUGACGGGCUUGAAUGGACUAGAGGUAGGCGGAAUGUGACAAGUAGCG